rnacentral:rRNA from 1 species
UACGAAGGGGGCUAGCGUUGCUCGGAAUCACUGGGCGUAAAGGGCGCGUAGGCGGCCAUUCAAGUCGGAGGUGAAAGCCCGGGGCUCAACCCUGGAAUUGCCUUCGAUACUGUUUGGCUAGAGACCGGAAGAGGUAAGUGGAAUUGCGAGUGUAGAGGUGAAAUUCGUAGAUAUUCGCAAGAACACCAGUGGCGAAGGCGGCUUACUGGUCCGGUUCUGACGCUGAGGCGCGAAAGCGUGGGGAGCAAACAGG